GACGUAGGGCGCGAGCGUUGUCCGGAUUUAUUGGGCGUAAAGAGCUCGUAGGCGGCUUGUUGCGUCAGCUGUGAAAACCCGCAGCUCAACUGUGGGCUUGCAGCUGAUACGGGCAGGCUUGAGUUCGGUAGGGGAGACUGGAAUUCCUGGUGUAGCGGUGAAAUGCGCAGAUAUCAGCAGGAACACCCGUGGCGAAAGCGGCGCGCUGGACCACUACUGACGCUGAGGAACGAAAGCUAGGGGAGCAAACAGG
rnacentral:rRNA from 1 species